rnacentral:lncRNA from 1 species
GCCUGCUGUGGAUCUCUUCUGCACACACGCACCAGCACCAGGGCCAGUGUCAGAGCUCCCCUGUGCCCCUGUCCCGCCACAGCCAGGCGUGAUGUCCUCUGCGCUGAAGGCUGGGGCUGCCAGGGCUGGGCAAGGCCUGUACUCACCAGGACCAAGGACCCCCUGAGAGAUGGUGACCUGUUGGGCAAGAGGCUGGGCCGCUCCCCCCAUAUCAGCAGCGACUGCUUUUCAGAGAAGAGGGCACGAAGCGAAUCCCCUCAAGAGGCGCUGCUGCUGCCGCCGGAGCUGGGGCCCAGCAUGGCCCCGGAGGACCAUUACCGCCGGCUUGUGUCAGCACUGAGCGAGGCCAGCACCUUUGAGGAUCCUCAGCGCCUCUACCACCUGGGCCUCCCCAGCCACGGUGAGGACCCCCCCUGGCAUGAUCCCCC